rnacentral:lncRNA from 1 species
GAUGGACAAAGCGGGUGGUGACUCCUUAUCCAGGGGAAUAGUGUUUACGCUAUGGUUACUUCAAUUCCAGGAGUUAUGUCUUCUCAGGAAUCUGAGAAAAGUAUUAGGCUUGACCCUGUCUUUUUUCGGAGCAAUGAGGAUGUGGCCGUGGGAGAGACUUCAACUACUGUUCUACGGCUUUCUUAAGGUCCAUUCCUCUAGAUCGCUUCCCGUGCAAACGUCUUCCUCAGAAGCCUGAGCAUGUGGAGUCAUUCAACCCUAUCACAAGGCUAGGACAUUUGUACAAGAGGAUGGCACUAGAUAGAAGAGUAAGUCAACAAUUCUAGGAAAAGGGGACCAUGGCCACCUGGUGGUCACAAGAAGAAACACCUUACAAAACCAUAUCCCUGACCAUCGGGAAUCACUGAACUUUGGCCCACUGUGGUCAAUCAGUCACACCCUGCUGUUCUCAAGCAGGUUGGCCUAAUCUCUGCCAGUGCUGACUCCCUUCAACUGAAGCUCCACUUCCCCAGAAGCUCCAAAUAAAGCUUUGCUCGUGCAAGCAAUAUUUGGCCCAAUCUCAUUUUACCAUCUCAGGAUCAAAAGAUCUACUU